CAGUGGGCUGUGAUAUGAUCAAGAAACAAUCCUGUUACUAGUUGCAUGUCACUGAGAGUUUGGGAUUGUUACAUCCCUGACUCUGCUCUGACUAAUACAAAAUCUGCUGAAUAGAAGAACUCAAAUGAACCCAGCUGUUUAGGGAUUUUUUAAUGUCAUGUGUGGGAAAGAACAAGAUUGCUUGAUUUCCAGGAAGUUUAGAAAAAUGAAAGUGAGAGAGAAUCCCAUGGACAGCUUUCACUAAGAAGGCCCCAAGCCGGGACUGAGUCAGAGGGAGACGGUCACAACGAAGGAAGGCACAUUGUCUUAUUCCUGGGACACGCGAAGGCUGAUUCCAGUGGGUGUGGUUUUACCCAGGAUGUAUCUCAGGACUGACUUUAGUCCUAUUUGGAAAGAAACUUAGGCUUAAACCAUGAAAAGGUUCAUUUUUCUCUCAAGCUCAGAGUUAUGCAGUCCAAGGCAUUAUGAGAUCCAGCGUGACAUCAGGGACCUCGGCUUUCCCUUAUUCCUCCUAUACAGAUAAUCCAAAAAUCCAAGGCAAUUUCAUCAUCUUCCUUGCAGCCAAGGGCAGCCAAAUGAUUCAGGGACUAGAACAGCCCAAACAACCAUCUAUUCAUCCGCGUAACAAAUACGCAUUGAGUUCUUAUUAAUUCAUUCAAGAACACCUUCUAUGUACCAGGCAUUGUGCCAGGUCUGGGGAUACAGUGGUGAUACAAUGAUCCCGGAUUUUAUUGACAAUGGGAGAGAGAAAUAAUGACAAACAAGAGCCCAGAAGGAAAAGCACAGGAUCUGUGAGGUGCAAAACAGGAGGCCUGCUCUUUUCUCAAAUGGCCACAGAAGCUUCCUUGAGAAAUGCUGUCUGACCUGAAGGAUGAGCAGGAGUCACGGAGUGUAUGCGUGCAUGUGCGCAUGUGCGUAUGUACCAAGUAUGUGUGCACACAGAACAUUCCAGAUAAUGGAGGAAGAGCAUGUCACCUCCAAAGGCACAGAGACGGCCAGGAUGUAAGAAAGAUGGACAGGAGAACACAGGGAAAAUGGGAGAUGUCCCCAACCUCAAGGGACUUUGCUUUAGAGAGGAGUGGAGGACACCUGGUUAUAAAUAAAUCCAGUGAAGAAUUGAAUGACAAGAGCCCCUGGGUAAUGACAAAGUGCAAGAGGAAUGUAAAAUGAAUCCCCGGAGCUUUAACUUCUUUGUGUAAAUAGGUGCUUGAUUUGUUUAUUUCCUUCAUUUGUUUUAAUAAAACAGUACUACGAUCCUUCUUAACUCUUCGCUGCCCUUCAGCAUGUCCACUGUUACUGUCUUG